rnacentral:rRNA from 1 species
AGAGUUUGAUCCUGGCUCAGAUUNAACGCUGGCGGCAUGCUUUACACAUGCAAGUCGAACGGUAACAGGGAGCUUGCUCCGGUGACGAGUGGCGGACGGGUGAGUAAUAAUCUGGAACGUACCCAGAAGUGGGGGAUAACGUAGCGAAAGUUACGCUAAUACCGCAUACGAUCUAUGGAUGAAAGUGGGGGAUCGCAAGACCUNACUCUUUUGGAGCGGCCGAUAUCUGAUUAGCUAGUUGGUGAGGUAAAGGCUCACCAAGGCGACGAUCAGUAGCUGGUCUGAGAGGACGACCAGCCACACUGGAACUGAGACACGGUCCAGACUCCUACGGGAGGCAGCAGUGGGGAAUUUUGGACAAUGGGCGCAAGCCUGAUCCAGCAAUGCCGCGUGAGUGAAGAAGGCCUUCGGGUUGUAAAGCUCUUUUGUCAGGGAAGAAACUGGAAUGGCUAAUAUCUGNNUACGAUGACGGUACCUGCAGAAUAAGCACCGGCUAACUUCGUGCCAGCAGCCGCGGUAAUACGUAGGGUGCAAGCGUUAAUCGGAAUUACUGGGCGUAAAGCGUGCGCAGGCGGUUUUGUAAGUCUGUCGUGAAAGCCCCGGGCUUAACCUGGGAAUUGCGAUGGAGACUGCAAGGCUUGAAUCUGGCAGAGGGGGGUAGAAUUCCACGUGUAGCAGUGAAAUGCGUAGAGAUGUGGAGGAACACCGAUGGCGAAGGCAGCC